rnacentral:rRNA from 1 species
AUACGGGGGGUGCAAGCGUUAAUCGGAAUUACUGGGCGUAAAGCGCGCGUAGGCGGUUUGCUCAGUCGGAUGUGAAAGCCCAGGGCUCAACCUUGGAACUGCAUACGAUACUGGCAAACUAGAGUGUGAGAGAGGAUAGUGGAAUUUCCGGUGUAGCGGUGAAAUGCGUAGAUAUCGGAAGGAACAUCAGUGGCGAAGGCGACUGUCUGGCUCAACACUGACGCUGAGGUGCGAAAGCGUGGGUAGCGAACAGGAUUAGAAACCCUAGUAGUCC